GCCAGCGUAGCUCAGUUGGUAGAGCAUCUGAUUUGUAAUCAGAGGGUCGUGGGUUCGAUCCCCUCCGCUGGCUCCA
rnacentral:tRNA from 2 species